UACAGAGGUGGCAAGCGUUGUUCGGAAUUACUGGGCGUAAAGGGCGCGUAGGCGGUUCGUUAAGUCCUGUGUGAAAUCCCCCGGCUCAACUGGGGAACUGCACAGGAAACUAGCGGGCUUGAGUUCGGGAGAGGGAAGCGGAAUUCCGGGUGUAGCGGUGAAAUGCGUAGAUAUCCGGAGGAACACCGGUGGCGAAGGCGGCUUCCUGGACCGACACUGACGCUGAGGCGCGAAAGCUAGGGGA
rnacentral:rRNA from 1 species